rnacentral:misc_RNA from 1 species
CAUCAAUUCGGCUUCCGAAAACAACACUCAACAGUAGAGCAAAUCCACCGCAUAACCCACAUGAUCAGCCAAACCCUUGAAAAGAAAAAAUACUGCUCAGCCGUAUUCCUAGACAUCCAACAGGCAUUCGAUAAAGUAUGGCAUGAAGGGCUACUCUACAAGCUUAAAAAAAUCCUACCCCACCCCCACAUGAUCAGCCAAACCCUUGAAAAGAAAAAAUACUGCUCAGCCGUAUUCCUAGACAUCCAACAGGCAUUCGAUAAAGUAUGGCAUGAAGGGCUACUCUACAAGCUUAAAAAAAUCCUACCCCACCCAUACUACUCCAUCUUAAAAUCCUACCUAACCAACAGACAAUUCAUAGUUAAAUGUCUAGGCG